rnacentral:rRNA from 1 species
AAUGACUGCUAAUACCGCAUAUGCCUUAGAAUCACAUGGUUCAAAAGGGAAAGGAGCAAUCCGCUGAUAGAUGGGCUUGCGUCUGAUUAGCUAGUUGGUGGGGUAAUGGCCUACCAAGGCAACGAUCAGUAGCCGAACUGAGAGGUUGAACGGCCACAUUGGGACUGAGAUACGGCCCAGACUCCUACGGGAGGCAGCAGUCGGGAAUAUUGCGCAAUGGAGGAAACUCUGACGCAGUGACGCCGCGUGCAGGAAGAAGGUUUUCGGAUUGUAAACUGCUUUAGACAGGGAAGAACAAAGACAGUACCUGUAGAAUAAGCUCCGGCUAACUACGUGCCA